rnacentral:tRNA from 1 species
GUCGUCUUAGUCUAGUGGUUUAAGACGCUGCUCCCCCAUACACUCAGGAGUCAUCCUGAGUGACCAGAGGUCAAGCAGAGGUCGCGAGUUCGAAUCUUGCAGACGACA